UCACUAAAGUCGAUUAGAAUACCGUAUCCAUAUGUCAGCUUGUCUAUCGUCUGAUGCCUUCCUAGCUUAGAUGCCAUAUUGUAUCACAAGGUUACCUUUUGUUCUUUCUUUAAGUCCAAGUUGUGUCUUAUGGAGUUGAUGGGAGGAUGUUAUCUAUUAUCUGCUGACUUCCCAGUUUGCAUGUUGUAAUUUGUUAUCUAUCGUUUGCUGACUUUUCAGUUUGCAUGCCGUAAUGUGUAAUCAAGGUUUACCUUUGUUCUUUGCUGAAGUCCAAGUUUACAUUGGGAUUAACACAUCAAUACUAUUUAAGGUUGUGCGCUAUGUAGGUUAUUUUCUUGAUUUUUCAAGCUAUGUUCUGUAAAUGUUUUUUGAUUAAGAAGAUUAUGUUCUUGACAUACAAGCACAAUGUUGCAAGUAUACUACUGCAAAAUGUAUUUUUGCUGGGUGUUUGAAUGAUUUCGUGCACGUAUUUAGUUGGAAACUCGUGACACACACAACUUUCCUGACUGUAAAAAUACACUUGGUACAGAUCUAUACAGUCAAUACAUUAACCGUUUGCCCAUUUUCUCCUCAGGACACUCAGUGAACAAGUGGAUACGUCCUUUGUAACAAUAGUUAGGGCAUGUACAAUGGUUGAUAAAACAGUCUUAUCUUAAGUCUUGCAUGUAAUUUAGAGAUGACAAAAAAGUAUGUCUACAAUGGGUUAUAUCUUAACCUUAUCUUCAAUAGCUAGUCAUUCCUUAAAACAUGGUGAGACAAAUUAUGCUAAGAGAUCAUCUCUUGUCUUAUCUUAAAUAAGAGAAGACAAACCUUUUUUUGUGAGUUCUCUCUCCUCCACCUCAUCAUUAAUCCUACGUGGCACUCCUAAGAUAGCACCAUUGUACAUGCCCUUAAUGGACUGGUGAAACUUAGCACAACAUGUAGUAAUAAGUUCUUCAUCUUUUUUUUUUUGAGCGUAAUAUAAGUUCUUCAUCUAGUAAAAUAGUACUCCCUCCGUUCUUUUUUAGUUCGGAAUAGCUUCGUACGUGACGUUUUCUGGACGGCGUGUGGACGAUGUAAACCUGGGCAUGUGCAGCCUAGCUCUCGGCCCAAGCCCAGCUUGCCCAGCUUGGGCCUUGAUUUGCUGCAGAGAGUACUUUUCAGUCUGGGCUUGGGCCUCCGUUUUCAGCCUGAAAUUAGCACGGCCUGGCCCGGCACAUCAGCUCACACAUAUCUGUUCAACAGUUUAGAGAGGUGGUGGAUGCCUGCGGGUUAGCUGAUAUUGGCUACGUGGGCAUGGACUGGACUUUUGAGAAGAAGGUUACAGGUGGCCAAUAUUGUCGUGUCCGUCUCGACCGGGCACUUGCGUCCAAUGAGUGGUGUAACAUGUUUCCUUUUGCUACUCUGAGGCAUCUUACUGCUGUAAAAUCUGACCACUCCCCAAUACUGUUGAUGAAUGAGCUUGAAGCUAAUAAUAGGAGAGUUGCAAUCGCUCGUCCGUUCCGAUACGAAGUGAUGUGGGAGCGUCACGAAGAAUUCUCUAGGGUACUGCAACAGGCGUGGUCGAGCAGGCCGAAGAGCUCUUCGGUCGCGGAGCUACGGCAUAAAUUGGACGUGGUUGCGGCUGCGUUUACCUCCUGGAGUGCGCAGUCCUUCGGUUCAGUGCGCAAGGAGCUGCGGGAACUCAAGGGCCAACUUGAGGCAAUGCGUGCUGACCCAUGCAGGACGGGACCAAUGCAUGCAGAGUUAAAAAUUCAAGAACGCAUUGCUGAAUUGAAUUAUAGAGAAGAGAUCCUUUGGCGUCAACGAUCUCGCAUCCAGUGGUUAAUGGAGGGCGAUAAUAAUACAGCGUUCUUUCACAGGAAGGCCUCGGCGCGCCGAAGGAAGAACCGAGUUGACAAGCUCACCCGUGCUAAUGGCACUGUUUGUGAAGACCAGGAUGAGCUUGGCCAGAUGACAUCAGAUUUCUAUAAAAACUUGUAUGCGUCUGAAGGAACAGUGGGUAUGGAAGAGGUUCUAUCGCAUAUCCCUUGUAGAGUUUCGGCGGAGAUGAAUCAGCAGCUUAAUGCCCCGUUUUGUGAACAGGAAGUUAAGGAGGCAUUGUUCCAAAUGUUCCCAACCAAAGCCCCAGGCCCGGAUGGCCUCCCGGCACACUUUUUUCAGAAAAAUUGGGAUAUUUGUCAUGAAGAGGUGACUGGCAUAGUAUUACGGAUUCUCAAUGGUGAGGAUUCUCCGGAAGAGAUCAACAAAACCUUCAUUGUUAUCAUCCCUAAGGUAUCAAAACCGACACUUUUGUCUCAGUUUCGACCUAUUAGCUUGUGCAACGUGAUAUAUAAAAUUGUCUCGAAAGUACUGGCUAACCGUCUGAAGCUCAUCCUUCCGGAAAUUAUUUCUAUGGAGCAAUCUGCCUUCGUGCCAGGUAGACUCAUUACCGACAACGUGAUCACUGCCUAUGAAUGUUUACACUAUAUGAAAGUCAAGAGGGGGAAGAAAAAUACUUUUUGUGCUCUCAAGCUCGACAUGAUGAAGGCCUAUGACCGCGUAGAGUGGGCAUACUUGAAGAAAGUUAUGAUGAAGCUGGGUUUCAAUGUUAUUUGGGUUGAACGGAUUAUGAGUUGCGUAUCUUCGGUGUCUUUCUCAGUGUUGUUUAAUGGAGGCAAGUUGGAAGAAUUUAAGCCAUCUAGGGGACUCCGGCAGGGUGACCCUAUUUCACCGUAUCUAUUCUUGCUAGCGGCUGAAGGAUUAUCAUGUAUUUUGAAGGGCCGAAAUAUCACUGAUGAUGUUGCUGGGAUCAAAGUGGCCCCCACUGCACCAUGUAUUAAUCACUUGCUUUUUGCAGAUGAUAGCAUUUUAUUCUUCAAAGCCAAUGAAGUGGGAGCCCAGCAAAUUAAGGAUUCUCUGGACAUCUAUUGUCAGGCGUCAGGACAAAGGAUAAACAUGGACAAAUCUUCAAUUUUCUUUGGAAAAGGUUGUUCUGACGCAACCCGUGGGCAGAUUAAGGGACUCCUUGGGGUCCAAAAUGAAUCACUAGCGGAGAAAUACUUGGGAUUGCCCUCGUCCGUGGGUAGAUCUAAGAAUGGAGUUUUCAAAUAUCUCAAGGAUAGAGUUUGGGCUCGUGUAAGAGGGUGGAUGGAGAAGGCUUUAUCUUGUGGAGGGAAAGAAAUCUUGAUCAAGUCGGUGGCUCAGGCGAUACCCACCUAUUCGAUGGCGUGCUUUAAAUUACCUCGAGGUCUUUGCGAGCAUAUAAAUUCUUUGCUUAGAAAAUUUUGGUGGGGCUGCAAGGACGGUGAGCGCAAAACAGCAUGGGUUUCGUGGGACGAGAUGACUAGGCCGAAACGAGAUGGUGGUCUAGGCUUCCGGGAUAUUGAGCUCUUCAAUCUCGCGUUAUUGGCUCGACAAGCAUGGCGAAUGUUAACUAACCCAGAUUCCAUCAGUGCCCAAGUUUUAAAGGCUGUCUAUUUUCCUGAAGGAAAUAUCCUAACUGCUGUUAUUGGCUCACGCCCUUCGACCGUCUGGAGGUCCAUUUGCGAAGGUAGGGAUGUGUUGAAGCUGGGCGUAAUCCGGAGAAUUGGUGAUGGAAAAGAGACACAGUUUUUUGAUAACUGGCUGCCACGCGACUAUAAGCUACAGCCGAUUUGUGCAAGGAGUGCAACACCGCCGGAGUUUGUUAGUGAAUUAAUUAACCAAACCGUGCAUGCAUGGAACAUAGAGGCUGUACGAGAGCAUAUGAUCCCACCUGAUGCGGACGUGGUGCUAAACAUCCCGCUAAGUUCAAUCAACUUGCCGGAUACCUGGGCAUGGCACUAUGAGCACUCUGGACGAUUUUCUGUCCGCUCAGCCUACCGGCUACUAGUGGAGACGAAGCGACAAAGAGAGGACUGGCUCGAGCACCGACCGGGGCCGUCCGACCUUGAAAGAACUCGCCGGCAAUGGUCUGAUUUAUGGGGCAUCAAGGUUCCUUCUAAAGUUAAAAAUUUUGCUUGGCGACUUGCUCAUGUGUCCCUCCCGACGGGUGAUGUAAGGCUAUCUCGGAACAUGGCGCAGGAGGCGACUUGUUCUGUUUGCAAUGCAGCUGAAGAUUCGUGGCACCAUUCGCUCAUAGACUGUAACAUGGCGAAAGCAGUAUGGUCGCUGAUGGAUGAUGAUGUUGUGAAUCUUGUUCAGUCACGUGAUCAGGAAGAUCCUAAGUUGUGGUUGUUCAAUCUACUCGAAGUAGCAUCACAUGCGGAAGUUGUGAAGGUCCUGAUAACACUAUGGUCCAUUUGGUGGGCUCGCCGAAAAGUGAUUCAUGAGCAACAAUUUCAGAGUCCGCUAUCGACGUUCUCCUUUAUCCAGCGUUUUCUGUCAGAGCUUGAAGGGCUACCAGUCAAGAAGUCUAACCAGCCCAGCCAACCUCGUAGGCCUGCCCGUGGCGGCUGGCAAGCUCCUGCUGUGGGAAGUGCCAAAAUUUAUGUUGACGGAGGUAUAGACAGACGAGAACGGAAGGGAGCUGUAAGUGCAAUUUGCCGUAAUGUGACGGGUACCUUCCUCGGCGCAUCCUCAAUUGUUUUUGAAGGUCUUACACAUCCAUCGACACUUGAAGCCAUUGCAUGCAGUGAGGCAAUGUCGCUAGCUCUUGAUCUAAACCUCUCACAAAUACAAAUUGCUACGGAUUGUCUACAAGUGGUUCGCAACAUCAAGGAGGAUAACCCAUGCAGCUAUGCCGUAAUCAUCAAGGAGAUUCUCGCAAAAAAGGCGUUGUUCCAGGAGGUGUCCAUUAGUCAUGAAAAUCGAGCAUGCAAUAUUGAAGCACAUAGUCUAGUGAAAGCUGCUACUUCUCUCGAGAGUGGGCGUCAUGUUUGGCUCACCUCACCCCCACCUAUAGCUUGUAUCCCUACAAACAUUGUUUAAAUAAAGUUAUAAUGGUGUUCAAAAAAAAAAUCUGUUGCGUCUAAAUAUUUGAAUCCCACCUGCAGCCGCGAUAUAAAGGCAUCCUGACAAGACCGCAACCCUAAUUCCGCGAACCCCCCAUCUCGUCAUGAAUUCCCCAGCCACCCCUUCCUCCACUUCAAAUCCACAUGAGGUAGUACUGCUACGAUGCGAGCUCCUCUGCCCAGGUCCGACGAUGGUAGGAUCUCAUGUUCCUUAUUUAUGGAGGAAUUAAAUCUAAGGGUGAUUACUGAUUAGCUACUGUCAUGCAUGCUCGGCCCAAAAAAUCGACUUGGUAGCACUGCUCUUAUUAGUUUGUAUAUAACUCAGUGCAUGCAUACCGAGUAGGUCAUCCGGUGGUUUAUCUUGGGAGCAACGGGAUCCUUGACUGUGCGCAAUGAGGAGAAGUCAUGGAAACUACUUUGGAAUGUGCAGGUACCAGCGAAAAUCAGAAUGUUUUUGUGACAAUUAGCAAGACAGUCUCUCCCCACAGAAGAUAUACGAGCUCACCGUAAUAUGUCUACCACUAGCUCUUGUGGUUUCCGUGGCUCGCAAGACUCUUGGAGACAUUCCCUCCUUGAGUGUUCAAUGGCAAGAUGUGUUUGAGCGUUAGAAGAUGGUGAAACGGUAGACCAGAUGACACAUGUGAUAUAAGAUGUGUGGUAACUUUUCCAAAUAACUUUAAAGAGGGGGAAGUAUGCGUAAAAAUCUCCCGUUACUGAUUGUUCUUCGCAUGUCUGCGGGUCCGGAGCAAUCAGGGGCUAGAUAUGCCAUCAAAUCUUUCCUCAGGUCCUCACAUAAGUUUGGAAGUGCGGUGGGAGGUGCAAACACCCGACACGCAGCUCCGGAGUGAGAUCCCUUUCACGGACGACACUCGCUCCCGUGGUUCCCUUGGGGCAACCGGCUCGUGGGAUCCCACAACGGCGGCUGGAUCAUCACCGCGUCCGGCUCCGACCAGCUCCUCGUGGUGAACCUCUUCUCUGGCGCUCGAGGGCCGCUUCAGCGCAAUCGUGUGCGCGUGUAGUAGACCGCUCGGUUGGCGACGGGAUGCGUACUUCUCGUGCACAGCCCCCGUAAAAAAAUCAUCUUCUCCGGGGACCCUUCAUCGAGCAGCUGCGUCCUCGCCGCUGCAAUAACCAAACUGUACAACAUAGCGCUAUGCAGGAUUGGCUCCCCGGACGGCCGAUGGACCACACUAGGAUGUGACACCAACAUGAGCACAUAUACGGACAUCGCCUUUUGCAAUGGCCACCUCUAUGGCUUCACGAAGAGUGAAGAGUUGUUCAAAGUUUGAGAUCAGCGUGACGGAGGACGCCAAUCUGGUGCUCAGACCACUCCACCUCGUGCACAUUGAAAUGAAUGCAUUUCAAGUGGUCGACGCGAUCUCCAUCCCAAGCUACAUCUUCGAACUGUAUGGCAAACUAGCAAUAGCCGUGCAGGUCUGGCCGAAAAAGGUCUGUAGUGACACUAAAUUUUUCAGGGUGUUUGAGCUUGCCGACGAGGGCACAAUGUGGGAAGAGGUGACAAGGUUGGGUGACCACGCCUUGUUUCUAGGUCCAGCGUGCAGCAAGGCGUUGCAGGUGUCUACGUCGUGCGGGCAUGGCUUGGUGGAAAAGAACCGCAUCUACUACUCUGAGCAGUGUUCUGAUCGUUACAUCGACUUGGAAUGCUCGACAAAGUUGGACCUCGGCAGUUGCACCUUAUAUCCUUGUGAAAGUAAAGGAUUGCAUCAUUUAGAAAAGAUCUUCUCACGGAGCUACCAAUACCCCUUGGUAGAUGAAAACAAUGGCUGUAAUAUUUGCAUGUGGCUGCUGCCUCCAGGAUUUUAGUUCCUCAUACAUGCAUGUAAUAUCUCACACUUACCUUAGAUUUUCUUGUUCGACCAGAUUUUGUACAACUUAUAGUACGAAAAUAAAGAGAAUAGAUAUUUCUAAAAAAAGAAAAGGAGUUGUUUGAUGAUAAUUUGCAUACAUAAAAUAAUGUUACACAUGGAGCAAGGAGUGCCCCUGAACGUGUACACGUAUACAUCUUGAACUACCUUGAUCCAAAGUGAGGGUUAGUGGGCUAUAUAUUGAUCGGUCAUUAGAGCAACUCUAGCAGACCCCCCAAAAGGCCCCGACCCGCAAAAUAACCGCCAAAAUGCGGGUCGGCACGGAAUAUCCUGUUGGAAAUAUGCCCUAGAGGAAAUAAUAAAAGCAUUAUUAUUAUAUUUCCUUGUUCAUGAUAAUUGUCUUUAUUCAUGCUAUAAUUGUGUUAUCCGGAAAUCGUAAUACAUGUGUGAAUAACAGACACCGACAUGUUCCUAGUGAGCCUCUAGUUGACUAGCUCGUUGAUCAACAGAUAGUCAUGGUUUCCUGACUAUGGACACUGGAUGUCAUUGAUAACGAGAUCACAUCAUUGGGAGAAUGAUGUGAUGGACAAGACCCAAUCCUAAACAUAGCACAAGAUCGUAUAAGUUCGUUUGCUAGAGUUUUCCAAUGUCAAGUAUCUUUUCCUUAGACCAUGAGAUCGUGUAACUCCCGGAUACCGUAGGAGUGCUUUGGGUAUGCCAAACGUCACAACGUAACUGGGUGACUAUAAAGGUAGACUACGGGUAUCUCCGAAAGUGUCUGUUGGGUGACAUGGAUCAAGACUGGGAUUUGUCACUCCGUAUGACGGAGAGGUAUCAAUGGGCCCACUCGGUAAUGCAUCAUCAUAAUGAGCUCAGAGUGACCAAGUGUCUGGUCACGGGAUCAUGCAUUACGGUACGAGUAAAGUGACUUGCCGGUAACGAGAUUGAACGAGAUAUUGGGAUACCGACGAUCGAAUCUCGGGCAAGUAACAUAUCGAUAGACAAAGGGAAUAGCGUACGGGGUUGAUAGAAUCCUCGACAUCGUGGUUCAUCCGAUGAGAUCAUCGUGGAGCAUGUGGGAGCCAACAUGGGUAUCCAGAUCCCGCUGUUGGUUAUUGACCGGAGAGUCGUCUCGGUCAUGUCUGCUUGUCUCCCGAACCCGUAGGGUCUACACACUUAAGGUUCAGUUACGCUAGGGUUGUAGGGAUAUGUAUAUGCAGUAACCUGAAUGUUGUUCGGAGUCCCGGAUGAGAUCCCGGACGUCACGAGGAGUUCCGGAAUGGUCCGGAGGUAAAGAUUUAUAUAUGGGAAGUCCUGUUUCGGGCAUCGGGACAAGUUUCGGGGUUAUCGGUAUUGUACCGGGACCACCGGAAGGGUCCCGGGGGUCCACCGGGUGGGUCCACCUGUCCCGGGGGGCCACAUGGGCUGUAGGGGGUGCGCCUUGGCCUAAUGGGCCAAGGGCACCAGCCCCACAUAGGCCCAUGCGCCUAGGGUUUGAAGGGGAAAGAGUCCUAGGAGGGGAAGGCACCUCCUAGGUGCCUUGGGGGGGAGGGAAACCCCCCUUGGCCGCCGCACCCCCUAGGAGAUUGGAUCUCCUAGGGCCGGCCACCCCCCCUUGGCACCCCUAUAUAUAGUGGGGGAGAGGAGGGACUUCAUACCUGAACGCCUAGGCCUUUGGUUGCCUCCUUCUCCCUCCCCAACAGCUCCUCCACCUCCAUAGUGCUUAGCGAAGCUCUGCCGGAGUACUGCAGCUCCAUCAACACCACGCCGUCGUGCUGCUGCUGGUGCCAUCUCCCUCAACCUCUCCUCCCUCCCUUGCUGGAUCAAGAAGGAGGAGACGUGGCUGUUCCGUACGUGUGUUGAACGCGGAGGUGCCGUCCGUUCGGCGCUGGUCAUCGGUGAUUUGGAUCACGUCGAGUACGACUACAUCAUCACCGUUCUUUUGAACGCUUCCGCUCGCGAUCUACAAAGGUAUGUAGAUGCAUCUAAUCACUCGUUGCUAGAUGAACUCCUAGAUGAUCUUGGUGAAAUGAGUAGGAAAAUUUUUGUUUUCUGCAACGUUCCCCAACAGUGGCAUCAUGAGCUAGGUCUAUGCGUAGUUCUUCUUGCGCGAGUAGAACACAAUUUGUUGUGGGCGUAGAUUUGUCAACUUUCUUGCCGUUACUAGUCCUUUCUUGCUUCAGCGGAAUUGUGGGAUGAAGCGGCCCGGACCAACCUUACACGUACGCUUACGUGAGACCGGUUCCACCGACUAACAUGCACUAGUUGCAUAAGGUGGCUGGCGGGUGUCUGUCUCUCCUACUUUAGUUGGAGCGGAAUCGAUGAACAGGGUCCUUAUGAAGGGUAAAUAGAAGUUGACAAAUCACGUUGUGGCUUUAACGUAGGUAAGAAGACGUUCUUGCUAGAACCCUAAUUCAGCCACGUAAACCUUGCAACAACAAUUAGAGGACGUCUAACUUGUUUUUGCAGCAAGUGGUUUGUGAUAUGAUAUGGCCAGAGUUGUGAUGAAUGAUGAAUGAUCUAUAUGUGAUGUAUGAGAUGUUCAUGCUAUUGUAAUAGGAAUCACGACUUGCAUGUCGAUGAGUAUGACAACCGGCAGGAGCCAUAGGAGUUGUCUUUAUUCUUUUAAUGACCUGCGUGUCAUCGAGAAACGCCAUGUAAAUUACUUUACUUUAUUGCUAAACGCGUUAGCCAUAGUAGUAGAAGUAAUAGUUGGCGAGCAACUUCAUGGAGACACGAUGAUGGAGAUCAUGAUGAUGGAGAUCAUGGUGUCAAGCCGGUGACAAGAUGAUCAUGGAGCCCCAAGAUGGAGAUCAAAGGAGCUAUGUGAUAUUGGCCAUAUCAUGUCACGUUUAUUAUUUGAUUGCAUGUGAUGUUUAUCAUGUUUUGCAUCUUGUUUACUUAGAACGACGGUAGUAAAUAAGAUGAUCCCUCACAAUAAAUUCAAGAAGUGUUCCCCCUAACUGUGCACCGUUGCGACAGUUUGCUGUUUCAAAACACCACGUGAUGAUCGGGUGUUUUAUUCAGACGUUCACAUACAACGGGUGUAAGACAGAUUUACACAUGCAAACACUUAGGUUGACUUGACGAGCCUAGCAUGUACAGACAUGGCCUCGGAACACAGAAGACCGAAAGGUCGAGCAUGAGUCGUAUAGAAGAUACGAUCAACAUGAAGAUGUUCAGCGAUGUUGACUAGUCCGUCUCACGUGAUGAUCGGACACGGUCUAGUUUGACUCGGAUCAUGUAAUACUUAGAUGGAUAGAGGGAUGUCUAAUCUAAGUGGGAGUUCACUAAUAAUUUGAUUAGUUGAACUUAAUUAUCAUGAACUUAGUCUAAAAUCUUUGCAAUAUGUCUUGUAGAUCAAAUGGCCAACGUAGUCCUCAACUUCAACGCGUUCCUAGAGAAAACUAAGCUGAAAGACGAUGGCAGCAACUAUACGGACUGGGUCCGGAACCUGAGGAUCAUCCUCAUAGCUGCCAAGAAAGAUUAUGUCCUACAAGCACCGCUUGGUGACGCACCCGUUCUCCCUGCAGAACAAGAUGUUAUGAACGCUUGGCAGGCACGUUUCGAUGACUACUCCCUCGUUCAGUGCGGCAUGCUUUACAGCUUAGAGCCGGGGCUCCAAAAGCGUUUUGAGAGACAUGGAGCAUAUGAGAUGUUCGAAGAGCUGAAAAUGGUUUUCCAAGCUCAUGCCCGGGUCGAGAGAUAUGAAGUCUCCGACAAAUUCUUCAGCUGUAAGAUGGAGGAAAACAGUUCUGUCAGUGAGCACAUACUCACUAUGUCUGGGUUGCAUAACCGCUUGACUCAGCUGGGAGUUAAUCUCCCGGAUGAUGCGGUCAUUGACAGAAUCCUCCAGUCGCUUCCACCAAGCUACAAGAGCUUUGUGAUGAACUUCAAUAUGCAGGGGAUGGAAAAGACCAUUCCUGAAGUAUUUGCUAUGCUCAAAUCAGCAGAGGUAGAAGUCAGAAAGGAACAUCAAGUGUUGAUGGUCAAUAAAACCACUAAGUUCAAGAAAGGCAAGGGUAAAAAGAACUUCAAGAAGGACGGCAAGGAGGUUGCCGCGCCCGGCAAGCAAGCUGCUGGGAAGAAGCCAAAGAAUGGACCCAAGCCCGAGACUGAGUGCUUUUAUUGCAAGGGAAGCGGUCACUGGAAGCGGAACUGCCCUAAGUACUUAGCGGAUAAGAAGGCCGGCAAAACAAAAGGUAUAUGUGAUAUACAUGUAAUUGAUGUGUACCUUACUAGUGCCCGUAGUAGCUCCUGGGUAUUUGAUACCGGUGCAGUUGCUCACAUUUGUAACUCAAAGCAGGGGCUGCGGAAUAAGCGGAAACUGGCAAAGGACGAGGUGACGAUGCGCGUCGGGAAUGGUUCCAAGGUCAAUGUGAUCGCCGUCGGCACGCUACCUCUGCAUCUCCCUUCGGGAUUAGUUUUAAACCUUAAUAAUUGUUAUUUAGUGCCAGCUUUGAGCAUGAACAUUGUAUCAGGAUCUCGUUUAAUUCGAGAUGGCUACUCUUUUAAAUCUGAGAAUAAUGGUUGUUCCAUUUUUAUGAGAGAUAUGUUUUAUGGCCAUGCUCCUAUGGUGAAUGAUUUAUUCCUUAUGAAUCUCGAACGUGAUGCUACACAUAUUCAUAAUGUGAGUACCAAAAGAAGUAAGGUUGAUAAUGAUAGUCCCACAUACUUGUGGCACUGCCGCCUUGGUCACAUAGGUGUCAAACGCAUGAAGAAGCUCCAUGCUGAUGGACUUUUAGAGUCUCUUGAUUAUGAAUCAUUUGACACGUGCGAACCAUGCCUUAUGGGUAAAAUGACCAAGACUCCGUUCUCAGGAACAAUGGAGCGAGCAACCGACUUAUUGGAAAUCAUACAUACUGAUGUGUGUGGUCCGAUGAGUGUUGAGGCUCGCGGUGGCUAUCGUUAUGUUCUCACUCUCACUGAUGAUUUAAGUAGGUAUGGGUAUAUCUACUUAAUGAAACACAAGUCUGAAACCUUUGAAAAGUUCAAGGAAUUUCAGAAUGAGGUUAAAAAUCAACGUGACAGGAAAAUCAAGUUUCUGCGAUCAGAUCGUGGAGGAGAAUACUUGAGUCACGAGUUUGGGGCACACUUAAGAAAAUGUGGAAUAGUUUCACAACUCACGCCGCCUGGAACACCUCAGCGUAAUGGUGUGUCCGAACGUCGUAAUCGCACUCUGUUAGAUAUGGUGCGAUCUAUGAUGUCUCUUACCGAUUUACCGCUUUCUUUUUGGGGCUAUGCUUUAGAGACUGCCGCAUUCACUUUAAAUAGGGCUCCGUCGAAAUCCGUUGAGACGACACCGUAUGAAUUAUGGUUUGGGAAGAAACCUAAGCUGUCGUUUCUAAAAGUUUGGGGAUGCGAUGCUUAUGUCAAGAAACUUCAACCUGAAAAGCUCGAACCCAAAUCGGAAAAAUGCGUCUUCAUAGGGUACCCAAAAGAAACUAUUGGGUACACCUUCUACCUCAGAUCCGAAGGCAAGAUCUUUGUUGCCAAGAAUGGGUCCUUUCUGGAGAAAGAGUUUCUCUCGAAAGAAGUAAGUGGGAGGAAAGUAGAGCUUGAUGAAGUAUUACCUCUUGAGCCGGAAAAUGGCGCAACUCAAGAAAAUGUUCCUGAGGUGCCUGCACCGACUAGAGAGGAAGUUAAUGAAAAUGAUCAAGAUACUUCUGAUCAAGCCCCUACUGAAAUUCGAAGGUCCACAAGGACAUGUUCCGCACCAGAGUGGUACGGCAACCCUGUCUUGGAAAUCAUGCUGUUAGACAACGGUGAACCUUCGAACUAUGAAGAAGCGAUGGUGGGCCCGGAUUCCGACAAAUGGCUGGAAGCCAUGAAAUCCGAGAUAGGAUCCAUGUAUGAAAACAAAGUAUGGACUUUGACUGACUUGCCCGUUGAGCAGCGAGCCAUAGAAAAUAAAUGGAUCUUUAAGAGGAAGACAGACGCGGAUGGUAAUGUGACCAUCUAUAAAGCUCGGCUUGUCGCUAAGGGUUAUCGACAAGUUCAAGGGGUUGACUACGAUGAGACUUUCUCACCGGUAGCGAAGCUGAAGUCCGUCCGAAUCAUGUUAGCAAUUGCCGCAUUCUAUGAUUACGAAAUAUGGCAAAUGGACGUCAAAACGGCAUUCCUUAAUGGUUUCCUUAAGGAAGAAUUGUAUAUGAUGCAGCCGGAAGGUUUUGUCGAUCCUAAGAAUGCUGACAAAGUGUGCAAGCUCCAACGCUCGAUUUAUGGGCUGGUGCAAGCAUCUCGGAGUUGGAACAUUCGCUUUGAUGAGAUGAUCAAAGCGUUUGGGUUUACACAGACUUAUGGAGAAGCCUGCGUUUACAAGAAAGUGAGUGGGAGCUCUGUAGCAUUUCUCAUAUUAUAUGUAGAUGACAUACUUUUGAUGGGAAAUGAUAUAGAACUCUUGGACAGCAUCAAGGCCUACUUGAAUAAAAGUUUUUCAAUGAAGGACCUUGGAGAAGCUGCUUAUAUUAGGCAUCAAAAUCUAUAGAGAUAGAUCGAGACGCCUCAUAGGUCUUUCACAAAGCACAUACCUUGAUAAGAUAUUGAAGAAGUUCAAUAUGGAUCAAUCCAAGAAGGGGUUCUUGCCUGUGUUGCAAGGUAUGAAAUUGAGCUCAGCUCAAUGUCCGACCACGGCAGAAGAUAUAGAAGAGAUGAGCGUCAUCCCCUAUGCCUCAGCCAUAGGUUCUAUUAUGUAUGCCAUGCUGUGUACCAGACCUGAUGUAAACCUUGCCGUAAGUUUGGUAGGAAGGUACCAAAGUAAUCCCGGCAAGGAACACCGGACAGCGGUCAAGAAUAUCCUGAAGUACCUGAAAAGGACUAAGGAAAUGUUUCUCGUUUAUGGAGGUGACGAAGAGCUCGUCGUAAAGGGUUACGUCGACGCUAGCUUCGACACAGAUCUGGAUGACUCUAAGUCACAAACCGGAUACGUGUAUAUUUUGAAUGGUGGGGCAGUAAGCUGGUGCAGUUGCAAGCAAAGCGUCGUGGCGGGAUCUACAUGUGAAGCGGAGUACAUGGCAGCCUCGGAGGCAGCACAUGAAGCAAUAUGGGUGAAGGAGUUCAUCACCGACCUGGGAGUCAUACCCAAUGCGUCGGGGCCGAUCAAGCUCUUCUGUGACAACACUGGAGCUAUUGCACUUGCCAAGGAGCCCAGGUUUUCACAAGAAGACAAGGCACAUCAAGCGUCGCUUCAACUCCAUUCGUGAAAAUGUUCAAGAUGGAGACAUAGAGAUUUGUAAAGUACAUACGGACCUGAAUGUAGCAGAUCCGUUGACUAAACCUCUCCCUAGAGCAAAACAUGAUCAACACCAGAGUUCCAUGGGUGUUCGAUUCAUCACAAUGUAACUAGAUUAUUGACUCUAGUGCAAGUGGGAGACUGUUGGAAAUAUGCCCUAGAGGAAAUAAUAAAAGCAUUAUUAUUAUAUUUCCUUGUUCAUGAUAAUUGUCUUUAUUCAUGCUAUAAUUGUGUUAUCCGGAAAUCGUAAUACAUGUGUGAAUAACAGACACCGACAUGUCCCUAGUGAGCCUCUAGUUGACUAGCUCGUUGAUCAACAGAUAGUCAUGGUUUCCUGACUAUGGACACUGGAUGUCAUUGAUAACGAGAUCACAUCAUUGGGAGAAUGAUGUGAUGGACAAGACCCAAUCCUAAACAUAGCACAAGAUCGUAUAAGUUCGUUUGCUAGAGUUUUCCAAUGUCAAGUAUCUUUUCCUUAGACCAUGAGAUCGUGUAACUCCCGGAUACCGUAGGAGUGCUUUGGGUAUGCCAAACGUCACAACGUAACUGGGUGACUAUAAAGGUAGACUACGGGUAUCUCCGAAAGUGUCUGUUGGGUGACAUGGAUCAAGACUGGGAUUUGUCACUCCGUAUGACGGAGAGGUAUCACUGGGCCCACUCGGUAAUGCAUCAUCAUAAUGAGCUCAGAGUGACCAAGUGUCUGGUCACGGGAUCAUGCAUUACGGUACGAGUAAAGUGACUUGCCGGUAACGAGAUUGAACGAGGUAUUGGGAUACCGACGAUCGAGUCUCGGGCAAGUAACAUAUCGAUAGACAAAGGGAAUAGCGUACGGGGUUGAUUGAAUCCUCGACAUCGUGGUUCAUCCGAUGAGAUCAUCGUGGAGCAUGUGGGAGCCAACAUGGGUAUCCAGAUCCCGCUGUUGGUUAUUGACCAGAGAGUCGUCUCGGUCAUGUCUGCUUGUCUCCCGAACCCGUAGGGUCUACACACUUAAGGUUCAGUUACGCUAGGGUUGUAGGGAUAUGUAUAUGCAGUAACCCGAAUGUUGUUCGGAGUCCCGGAUGAGAUCCCGGACGUCACGAGGAGUUCCGGAAUGGUCCGGAGGUAAAGAUUUAUAUAUGGGAAGUCCUGUUUCGGGCAUCGGGACAAGUUUCGGGGUUAUCGGUAUUGUACCGGGACCACCGGAAGGGUCCCGGGGGUCCACCGGGUGGGUCCACCUGUCCCGGGGGGCCACAUGGGCUGUAGGGGGUGCGCCUUGGCCUAAUGGGCCAAGGGCACCAGCCCCACAUAGGCCCAUGCGCCUAGGGUUUGAAGGGGAAAGAGUCCUAGGAGGGGAAGGCACCUCCUAGGUGCCUUGGGGGGGAGGGAAACCCCCCUUGGCCGCCGCACCCCCUAGGAGAUUGGAUCUCCUAGGGCCGGCCACCCCCCCUUGGCACCCCUAUAUAUAGUGGGGGAGAGGAGGGACUUCAUACCUGAACGCCUAGGCCUUUGGUUGCCUCCUUCUCCCUCCCCAACAGCUCCUCCACCUCCAUAGUGCUUAGCGAAGCUCUGCCGGAGUACUGCAGCUCCAUCAACACCACGCCGUCGUGCUGCUGCUGGUGCCAUCUCCCUCAACCUCUCCUCCCUCCCUUGCUGGAUCAAGAAGGAGGAGACGUGGCUGUUCCGUACGUGUGUUGAACGCGGAGGUGCCGUCCGUUCGGCGCUGGUCAUCGGUGAUUUGGAUCACGUCGAGUACGACUACAUCAUCACCGUUCUUUUGAACGCUUCCGCUCGCGAUCUACAAAGAUAUGUAGAUGCAUCUAAUCACUCGUUGCUAGAUGAACUCCUAGAUGAUCUUGGUGAAACGAGUAGGAAAUUUUUUGUUUUCUGCAACGUUCCCCAACAUAUCCCGCCCGAACAGACACCGCAAACGCAAGGACAACGAGCAUGACUCAGAAGCACAUGUAUCUACUGGUAUAUGAGUGAGAUGAAACAUUGUUAACUCUCAUUUAGAUAAUAAUUAGCAAACCAAUCCGAAACGGGACCUAGAUCGCGUCGGAAAAACGUUCCAACAAAGACACAUGCGCGAACAAGUAGACAAGAAGACACCAAACACACGACGCGACUUAGAGCGCGCGUGACAAAAUAACCCGCAAUCUAGAUUUGCACAAUAUUUAAAAAGAACAUAUGACAAAGUGGAAACAAGUUCAUGAAUUUAAAAGUAUAAAUGAUGAAUAAAAAUAAAAAUAAAAAGGUGAGAAUAGAAAACAUAAAUGAAAAAUCAUGAAUUUAAAAUAGUUCAUAAUUUAAAACAAAUAAUGAAAUAGAAAAAAGAAAAAAGAAAAAGACAAACAAAACAGAAAUGAAAAGAAAAUACAGGGAGUCAAAUGGGACAUGGGAUUGUAGAAAAACGAGAGGAACUUGGACUGAGUGUAACACAGACUUUUGAAAAGAAAUAGAAAAAGGCAAGAGAACCUCGCACCAACACCGACCUUCAGGAGUAUAGGCUCGCGAAAACCAACAACGUACCAACCUCGACCAGCAAUGACCCGGACACAGGCAGCGCGAGACAACGCGCCGCGAGCCAGCGCAACAGCUAGACCAUUGUGUUUUUCACAAAUAUUAAAGAUAUAGCUGAUCCAAUGGCUCUGGAUUUAGAUGUGAGAUAAUUAUUUUACAUCUAGAUGUGAAAUAGCAAACCCGUUUUGCUAAUAUCAUAGCAGGGGUGGAGCUAGAAAAUUUAGCCGAUGGGUUCAUUAGUUGACUGAUUGUGGGGAUUUAGUCCCUUUUUUUUUCUGCACCACCUUGCAUCAAAUAUAUAGCACUCGGUUUCAAAGAAGAAAAAUAUAGCACUUAAAAAAUGCAAAACAGAUUGAAAUAUAAUAUGACUUAUGAAUAGCAAAGGCGGAAAUAUUAUCAUUUCUUAUUCCGCACCAACACAUUUAACUAGUAAUUUUAAAAACAUACUGAUUAAAUUGUGUGAUUAUGGAGUUAACCUAGGUCUGGUGCAUCUAGCCAUUGGAGAAUGACCCAAAUAUAUGUGAAUCGCUGCCAAAAAUUGACAAGUCGCCAUAUUCCAAUUACCAAGUAAUCACUCUUAAAAUUAAAAACCCUAGCCAUACAUUUUAGGAAGCAAAAAUUAGACAAAGCGGAGGCACGCGCUCUGUAGAAAUUGAUGACUUACCUCUUCAGAAAUAUGAUGCACGUAUCAUAGCAUUCACGUGGAGAUGGAUUCCCUAGCUGUUGCCCGUAAGUCGGAUUUUUGUAUUUAAGCAGCGUGUACAGUGAGUACGUGAACUAACAGUGUCGAUUGGAGGUCCGUCCCAUUCCCCUCACGUAGGCAUGCAUUGGUCAGUGGUGUUCAAGGGUCGCAAGGGCCGUUCGGAUUCCCGAAUGAGCUCCUGGUGUGAUUGAACUGCUCAGCUUCUCCAUGCAUGCACCUCCUAGGAAGUCGAUCCGUCAAGUGUAAACACGCUCCACGCGCAUUGAUUCCAGUGCAUGAAACACAGUGUCACCGCCGGUUCGCUGCAUACUUAUAAACCCAAGAGCCGGCCGCGCCUCGCCUCCGCUAACAUAGCUCUGUAGCCAUCUACUUCGAAGCACUGAGAAAAUCUUGGAGCUUCGCGCUGGAUGGAAGCCGCCGACGAGCUGAAGCGUGCACGUGGCGGCGGCGGCGGCCUUGGGCAUUCCGUGGACCGGCUGAGUGCACUGCCGGACGACAUCCUGCACGCCGUCCUUUCGCGCCUCAAUGCCCGGCAGGUCGUGCGGACGUGCGUGCUGUCCACGAGGUGGAGGCAUCUCUGGCGCUCCGUGCCCUGCCUCCGCAUCGACCAGCGGGAGUUCCAUGCCGCCGACGGCUCCCUUGCCGAGCGGCAGCAGUUCAAGAACUUCACCCACAUCCUGCUGCACCGCCAUGACGUCGCGCUCCUAGAAGAUUUUCGUCUCCUCGUGCACCAUGGUAGUGAUAUGCCUCACUAUGACGACAGCUGGGUCCGCCGCGGCAUAAGUCAAGAUGAGACAUGGCCAUGUCGGCUCAAAAAAUUGCACCUUACCAACGUGUUUUUGGAUGGUUAUUUCUUGAGGCACAUCAAUUCGCGGUGCCCUGCUCUGGAGGACAUGAAACUGGAAAACUGCAGCUACUUGCUCACCGAUGAUACUAGCAUCUCCUCCCCCUCGCUGAAGAAAUUGGUUAUCAUCGGGUUCCGCCGUUCAUCACUGGAGAGCUUUUUUUGCCAUUUGAUUUUGGAGGCUCAUGCUCUUGCUUCCCUCGGCCUGGAAGGGGGUUAUUUUGAUAUCAUCGAUACAUGCCUGCCAAAUUCCAUGCCAUCUCUUGUCGAUGCAUCAAUCCGUCUGACUGAGAGCGAGGAGUUCAACUACAACAACGAUGGACAUAACUACCAGAUUCGGAAGCAAUUGUCUUUCCUCGAAGAGCUUUCCAACGUGACCAGUUUAAGUUUGGCUCGUUUCGGGGUCAUGGUACAUCUAUUCUCAGUUUCUGCCUAUCGAUAUCCUCCCAUGUAUUCAGCUUGUCUCUUCUUUAUCUAUGUUCAUUUACUGAUCAGAAAUUUAAUUAUGUGUGUAUGUUUCAGUUUCUUGUCAUUGAUGAUGAUGCUGGUCAUUACUUCCCUGAGUUCAAAAACCUCAAGAAAUUGUCCCUGGUCGAGUGUGAUAUCAGUGAUGACUUCCUCACGCUGGAGCAUUUCCUGCGGAACUCGCCUGAGCUGGAGAAGCUCACUUUGCGCUGUUGCAAGGUGCUACUACAACAUCUUCUUUCAUACCUCAGUUUAGUAAGUAAUAUUAAUUCUUUUAUUCUGUCAACAGCUCUCGGAUUCCAGACCUAAAAGAUCUAGAAAGAGGAUAAUGGAAAAGGCUCACUCAUAUUCCAAUGGCAUGGCAAGUAUUGAGUGCAAGAACCUCAGGCUCACUGAAGUCAUAUAUGACGAUGAUGAUGUCCACCUAUUAGUCAAGUUUUUGUUGGGCAUGUCGAAGAAUAUGCCAAACAAUAAGAUCGAGAUCACUAAAUUUGAUUAGCAAUACCGCAUCCAUAUGUCAGCUUGUCCAGAAACUACUAUGUUGUCUACUGGUUAAUGGUUUCCUAGUUUAGAUGCCACAGCGCAUCGCCAAGUUUACCAUUUGUUCUUUCUUAAAGUCCGAGCUUCGAUUUUGAUCUAUUCUUAAAAAUAUGCAAUCUUGUACUCCCUCCGUCCGGUGAAGAGUGUACGUUUGGGUUUAAAAAUUGUCCACAAAGAGCAUACUCCUAUCUUUCCAAUGCAUUUUAAAGUAGAAAAGAAGUUUUCUCUCAUCACACAGUAAUCAAUACCAAUAACAUUCUAUACAUAGUCUUCUUAAUUUCUACAUGCACUUAGUUCAUUGGGGGUUGGAUAAUUCAAGAGGAGAGAGAUGGUGGAUUGCAUAUUCGCAAUGCAUUUUUUACUCUACUCCAUAAUUUAUCCUAAAAUUUUUAGAUGUACACUUUUCACCGGACGGAAGGAGUAUGGCUCUUAGUGCAGCUCAUACCCUAGUUAAGGAAGGAUGUUGCAUGGAACUGUGCAAGGUCACGGUUUCUAGGUACGUACGCCCAGAUUGUACUGUGGAUGCAUGCUUUGCACUCGGAUUAGGCUGAGAUAUAUAUGAAUAAAUAGUAAGUCUGAAAUAAACCCUGGUUGUAGAGGCCAUUGCAAUCCUGCAUGGCUCUUACUGCUGCUCAUGCCCUAGCUAAGGAAGGAUGUCGCGUGGAACUGUGCAAAGUCAUGGUUUCCAGGGUUAGUUUGCUAGGGUUGUAUCGAUGCUCCCGUCCGUGGGCCUUGCAUGGCCCUCGGAGCGUCUUAUCCUUAUUCUCUUUUUCCUUUCCCCCCGUGGGGUGUGUAAUGGCCUUAGGCCCGCUAGUGCCUUAAGACUAGCUACAGUGGGAGUAACUUCAGCAGUAACAUCGAGUCCAACUCAACAAAUUUGCUUAUGUGGCAGUGAGUUAAUAAGCAGAGAGGUAGUUAUAGUGACUUAGCUAGUUACUCCCUCCGUCCGGGUUUAUUAGGUCUAAAGACAACUUCUUUUAGACCAAGACACAUAUUAAUUUGCUCACAUUAAUUCUUCCAUUUCACUCCCAAUGCACUCUCUCACAUGCAUGCAGCCAAUAAAAAAGCACGCAUGAAGUGUAUUAAUUUUCUAGUCAUGGCACCAACAACAAUGGCUUUCAAUGCAACCAAUGAAAUGGUUAAUUUGCAUGCACCUUUUCAAAGCGAGGCCUUAUAAAAAGGGACAUGCUUGUGAUGCUAAGAGGCCUAAUAAACCCGGACGGAGGGAGUACUGUAACAUCACAUGUCCCAAUACAAUAUGAGUCUAUAACCUAAUAAAUAAAGCUUUGCAUGUUACCACACUUAUGUUACUACCCACUAUGAAGGUAGUAACAUAGUCUAGGGAUAUGUGUAUGUUACUCAUCAUUGUGGCUAGUCUAAGGCCCUUCCCAGUGCUCCACGGUGUACAGGUGCUAAGGGUGCCACAUAGGCAGAAAAAUGAUGUGGCACAAUAAUUAAAGAGGAGAAAGAGCAUUGUGGUGACCCCAAUAAGAACCAAUGCUAAGCACGUGAACCUAGACAAAAAGACUACCAACCAAUACAUGAAGAAGUUUUAAUAUUAAACAAUUAAAUAGAGGAGGCUUAGCUACAAAACCUAAGCAUCAAUGCAUUGGGGACAUUAGUUGCUAAGCAUUUUAAUGCACUUAGCACCCCACUUUAGCACCAAUGCAUUGGGAGAGGUCUAAACAACCCUGUUGCUUAUUACUUCCUGCUUUUCCUCUUUCUUUGGUGCUUUCCAGCCCCAUCAGGAGCGCUCUUUUCUCUGUGUGUACUUGGAACGUCCGUGGGCUGGGUGAGUCGCGUAAAUGUAUCAACGUCCGCGCUAACAUCGAGGCCAUGCAGCCUACCUUCCUCGCGAUCCAAAGAAACGAAACUAGAGCACCCGCCUCCCUCCAAAACUGACUCGUUCUUGCCCUCCUCUCUUCGUACGUUCCUCGCCAUCGAUUGCACUGGUGCUUCCGGAGGAAUUUGUUCUGCCUGGAAUGCCAACUUUUUCUCUCUUAUCCACCAUCUCGCCACUGGUGCGUUCCUCCUUGAGCUUGCCGGGCAUGCCCCUCUCAGCUCUAUCCCUUGGGCCAUUGUGGGGGAUUUCAACCUCAUCCGAUCUCCGGAGGAUCGUAGUAACGAUAGUUUUUUCUCGGACCGAGGCCAUGUGGUUUAAUGACUUCAUUAAUGACCUCGCACUCAUCGACCUCCCCCUUCAUGACCGCCAAUUUACAUGGUCUAACCGCCAAAACUCCCCCAUCCUUGCGCGCCUCGACCGAGUCCUUGUCAGCGUUGCUUGGGACUCUCGGUUCCCCACCUCCACGCUUGCUUCUUUCACCCGUUCCACCUCCGAUCAUGUCCCCCUCAUCGCCACCAUCUCCUCCACGGCGCCCAAAACUCGUAUUUUUCGGUUUGAGAAAUCUUGGACCCUUCAUCCGUCUUUUCGUGCCGCCAUGUGCACCGCUUGGACCUCGAUGUUUCGCCCUGAUGCCACUGCUCGACUCGUGGCGUGUCUAUGGCAGUGCCGCCUUAGCUGCAAACGUUGGACUUGGCGGGUCGCUCCGGCGGCUCAGCGAGAGCAGGAUUGCCGCGUGCUUAUUGACAUCCUUGAUCGGACUAAGGAGCUCCGCCACCUCUCCCCAUUGGAAAUCCUCCUUCGCGCUCUUACUGUCGAUGCUCUGCAUGCCUCUGUCAAAGAACACGUCGUCUACUAGAAGCUCUGGGCUAAGUUUCGCUAUGCCUUGGAAGGCGACGAGAACACGGGGUUUUUUCAUGCCUCCGCUUCUGCCCGUUUCCGUCGAAACUGCAUUCAUGUCCUUUGCGUGGAUGGUCGUGAGAUUUCCUCUCACUCUGACAAAGCGUCUUCUCUCCGAGACUACUACAAGGCUCUCCUCGGCACCACUGCCGUCUGCGGUUGGACUUUCUCUCUCUGCCUUGUAUCCCGACACGAGUCCCCUUCUCGCUUCCCUUUCGGUCCCCUUCACCGCUGACGAGGUUAGGGCAGCUUUUUUUUGACAUGAAUCGCCUCUCUAGCCCCGGGCCAAACGGCUUCGGUCCUUCUUUCUGUGUCACCUUUUGGGACGUUCUCUCUGCUGACGUCCAGGCAGUUUUCCAUGACUUCUACACUAGCAAAAUCAAUCUCACCAGGAUAAAUCGAGCCUUUUUGGUUCUCCUGCCUAAGUCCGAGGUGACCCGGUCCCGUUCUGACUUUCGGCCGCUCUCUCUCCAAAACUGUGUCAUGAAGGCCAUCACCAGGGCUCUCUGCACUCGCCUUCAGCGGCACAUCCACUCCCUGGUGGACCCGGACCAGACAGGCUUCCUUCCCGGUAGGUGCAUUUCCGAGAACAUCAUCUACGCUGCCGACCUUCUCCGGGCCUGCCACUUGCGCAAGGUCCCCAUUGUGGUUUUCGAAAUUGACUUCCGCAAAGCUUUCGACUCUGUCAACUGGUCGAGCCUCCUCCUGAUCUUGUCUGCGCGGGGGUUUAGCGACCGCUGGUGUGGUUGGAUCAAGGCCAUCUUGUCCACUGGGCAUACGUCUAUCCUUCUCAACAACACUCCGGGGGACUGGAUCCUCUGCCAAAAUGGCCUUCGCCAGGGUGACGCCCUUUCUCCCUAUCUUUUUAUCAUCGUGGCCGAUGUUUUGCAGCGCAUGGCCCGAGUGGCUAGUACCGCUGGCCAUCUGUCGCACCCCAUCGAUCCCACCCUUCCUUGCCCCGUCCUUCAGUACGCUGACGACACCCUUAUCCUUUGUCAUGCGAACGUCCCCUCUAUUACGCACCUCAAAAGCAUCAUCGAUGCUUUUGCCCGUGCGACCGGGCUAGUGAUCAAUUUCCACAAGUCCGGGUUUGUUCCCAUGCAUUGCACCUCCAAGUUGUCGGCAGAGUUGGCCUCCAUCUUAGGGUGCCCCAUCUCUUCUUUCCCCCAACCUUACCUAGGGCUACCCUUGUCCCCACUCAAGCUUCCCACCUCCGCCUACGACCCCCUCCUCAAAUCUUUUGACCUCUAUCUGUCGGGUUGGCGAGCUCUCCUUCUCUCGUCGGGUGGUAGACUUGUUCUUUGCAACGCUAUUCUUAAUAAUCUUCCAACUUACUUUAUGUGUUCUUAUUUGCUGCCCACUGGAGUGAUUGAGCAUAUUGAUCGUAGGCGCCAUUCUUUCUUUUGGACCGGCAAGGAUACUUGCUCCGGGACUCGCUGUUUAAUUGCUUGGGACAAAGUGUGUGUUGAUGUGCAGGAAGUUGGCUUCGGCAUCCGUGAUCUUCGACGACAAAACAUGUGCCUCCUUCUUCAUUUUGUGGACGUUCUUCACCGCCCCGACUGCCCGCCGUGGAAGAGGUGGUUCCUCAGCAACCUCCGCGGCGACAUUGGCGAUGCAUGCUCGACGCCAUCGCUCCUUCAGACGAUCAUCCAGGCUGCUCUGCCUACCUCCAGGAGUAUUACUUGGGUGCAUCUGGGGGAUGGGCGCACCACUUCUUUCUGGCAGGACAGGUGGCUUCCCGGCGGUGCACUCUGCUUCGUCUUCAAGGUGCUCUUCUCCCACUCGACGCGGCCCAACGAGACGGUUGCUGGGGUCUUCGAGUCCGGCCUUGCUCUCCAGCCGAGGCUGUCCGCGGUGGCGGCCGCCCAGCUCGGCUCCGUACGGGAGCUUCUUCGCUCUGUGCGUCUGGUGGACGCGCACGACCGCCGUGUCAUGGCCUGGGGGUGAGACCUCUCGUUUAGCUCUCGGGCGGCGUUCCGUGUCCUGUCGCUACACGACAUCCGCGAUCAGGACUCCAUCGACCUCUGGGACUCCCGGCUUCCCAACAAGAUCAAGAUCUUUGCUCGGCUUCUUCUCGGCAACCGGCUUAGCACGCGCGCUAAUAUGUUUGCCAAGAAUUGUGCUCCGUCACCUGAAUGUGCCUCAUGCCAUGACGACGAAACAACGGACCACCUCUUCGCCUCCUGCCCGCAGGCGCCUCGUGUCUGGUCGCGACUCGACAUGGGCCCCUUCCUCUCCGUGGCGGAGAUUGUUUCCGAGCAACCCCGGGCUCCACUGGAUGCUGCUGCUUGGCGGGCUGGCCUCUACAUCCUCCUUUGGCAUGUGUGGAAGGCACAAUGCUGUGUCCAACUUCAUCGUCUGUGAGCCCAAGGAUGCUCUCCGACGUGCGGCCGACGACACGCUGCUUUGGGCGCGACGCUUCGAUGACGUUGUGCGCGACCAACUCCUCCUGUUCCGCUCCCUCCUCAUCGCGGCUUCCUAGCCUCCUUGUUUUUCACUUUUCUCUCUAUCUUGUUGUUUUUAUCUCCUCGAUGGAAAACACUGUAUGACGGCCUCGUCCUUUCGGGUAAUAUAACAACCGNNNNNNNNNNNNNNNNNNNNNNNNNNNNNNNNNNNNNNNNNNNNNNNNNNNNNNNNNNNNNNNNNNNNNNNNNNNNNNNNNNNNNNNNNNNNNNNNNNNNNNNNNNNNNNNNNNNNNNNNNNNNNNNNNNNNNNNNNNNNNNNNNNNNNNNNNNNNNNNNNNNNNNNNNNNNNNNNNNNNNNNNNNNNNNNNNNNNCAUGGUUUCCAGGUACAUACGCCCAGAUUCUACUGUGGAGCAUGCUUUGCACUCGGAUUAUGCUGAAUAUAUAUGAAUAAAAGGGGCAAUACUUCCAACCGAGAUAAAAGGUAGUACUUAUUCGACUUCAAUGGAGAAACAAUAAAAUUUGAACGGAAUUGUAAGACGCAAAAGUCCUAAUAUUUCACGUCAUGGAAGUAGAAGUUGUUGCCGAACCUGCUGGUGAACUGUGGGUCACCGCAGGAGAUGCCCGGUUAGAGCAAGUACAAUAGAGCUGAGCCAGCGGGCUAUAAGGAAUAAAGUAAUAUAUUUCUGCUUAGUUGGAGGAAAGAGAAGAGGAGAGAGAAGGCCAGCUCUAGCACGUGCUCCUAGGCACUUUGUGAGAAUGAAAGAUGGGCCACAUAAUAAAAAAGUAGUACAUUUUUUGAUCUACUAUUGUACAUGUUGGCUAUAUGAUGGACUGUAGAUGACAUGGCACAUGUUUAUAGCCAGCAGCUGGCUAUACUAUUAACCAUGCUCUUAGUAGUCGCACACUUGACGCGAACUACUAGUAGUACUACUAGUAGCAUCAUAGUGGCAGAGAUUAAUUUGUGACCAGUUCUUUCUUCGUCUUUCUUAAACAGCGUGUACAGCCAGUUCAUCAACAACCUACUAUUCCCGAUGAGCCAGAUGAACAGUCUAUUGGAGGUCGUCUACUCGUCUUUCCCCAUUCCUCGUCCAACCCCUUCACAUGCAUGCACCUCGUCCAACCCAAGCGCCGGCCGCCUUCUAAGCACUGAGAAAAUCUUGGAGCUCGCGCUCCAUGGACGGCCCCGACAAGCUGAAGCGUGCACGCGGCGGCCACGGUGGCGGCGGCGUUGGGCAUUCUGUGGACCGGCUGAGCGCCCUGCCGGACGACCUCCUGCACGCCGUCCUUUCCCGCCUCAAGGCCCGGCAGGUGGUGCGGACGUGCGUGCUGUCCACUCGGUGGAGGCACCUCUGGCGCUCCGUGCCGUGCCUCCGCGUCGACCAGCGGGAGUUCCAUGCCGCGGCGACCGGCAACGGCUCCCUCGUCGAGAGGCUGAGUUUCAACAACUUCGCCCACAUCCUGCUGCACCGCCACAACGUUGCACUCCUAGAAGAAUUUCGCCUGCACGAAGACCCUGGCUAUGGCUAUGGCUAUGGCUAUGGCUAUGGCUAUGGCAGAUGCCAUGCUGACAGCUGGGUCCGCCAUGGCAUAAGUCAGGAUGAGACUUGGCCUAGCCGGCUCGAAAGGUUGCAUCUUAACAACGUGUCCUUGGACGGUUACUUUGCCAGGCACAUCAGUUCGAGGUGCCCUGCUCUUGAGGACAUGCGACUGAAAAACUGCAGCUACUGGCUCACCGAGGACAUCAGGUUCACCUCCUCCUCGCUAAAGAAAUUGGUCAUCGUCGGCUUCCAUGUGGUGAGGGAGGAUGCUUCUUUCAGGCUGAUUUUGGAGGCUCCUGCCCUUGCUUCCCUCCGCCUUGCCGGUCAUUCUUCUAACAAUUAUUCAGUUGUCAUGGGUCUGACGACUGUGACGAGCAUGCCAUCACUUGUCGCUGCAUCGAUCUGUCUGGUGACUGUGAGCAGGUUCAAUUACAGCAAUGAAGAUAACGGCCCAAUUGAGAGGCAAUUGUCUUUGCUCAACGAGCUUUUCAAUGUGACGACUUCACAUUUGUCUCGUUUUGGGGUCAUGGUAUAUACCUUCUCAAUUUCUGACUAUCGAUAUCCCCCUGUUUAUUCAGCUUACAUCUCAUUUGCCUAUAGCCAUUUAAAAUCAGAAAUUGAAUAUGUAUGUUUCAGUUUCUUGUCCUUGGAGGCGAUGCUGGUCUGUUUUUCCCCGAGUUCAAAAACCUCAAGAUGUUGUCCCUUGCCGAAUGUGAUAUCAGUGAUGACUUCCUCACGCUGAAGCAUUUCCUGCGGAACUCACCUAAUUUGGAGAAGCUCACGUUGCGCUGUUGCAAGGUGCUACUACUACUACUACUACUACUACUACUACUACUACUACUACUUUCAUUACUCAGUUUAGUAUGUAAUAUUAAUUUUUUUAUAAUCCCAACAGCUCUUGGAUCCCGGACCUAAAAGUUCUAGAAAGGAGAUAAUGAAAUUUCAAAAAAAAAGAAAGAAGAUAAUGGAAAAGGCUCACUCAUGUUCCCAGGACAUGGCGACUGUUGAGUGCAAGAACCUCAAGCUCACUGAAAUCAUAUACCAGAAAAAUGAUGAUGAUGAUGUGCACCUAUUGGUCAAUUUUUGGUUGGGCAUGUCGAAGAAUAUGCCAAGCAAUAAGAUCGAGAUCACUAAAGUUGAUUAGCAAUACCAUAUCCAUAUGUCAGCUUGUCUAUCGUUUGAAGCCUUCCUAGCUUAGAUGCCAUAUUGUAUCGCAAGGUUACCUUUUGUUCUUCUUUAAGUCCAAGUUGUGUCGUAUGGAGUUGAUGGAAGGAUGUUAUCUAUCGUUUGUUGACUUCCCAGUUUGCAUGUCGUAAUAUGUUUUCUAUCAUUUGCUGACUUCCCAGUUUGCAUGCCGUAAUGUAAUCAGGUUUACCUUUGUUCUUUGCUGAAGUCCAAGUUUCCAUUGGGAUCAACACAUCAAUAUUAUUUAAGGUUGUGUGUUAUGUAGAUUAUGUUCUUGUUUUUUCAAGCUAUGAUCUGUAAAUGUUUUUCAUUAAGAAGAUUAUGUUCUUGACAUACAAGCACAAUGUUGCAAGUAUACUACUGCAAAAUGUAUUUUCUCUGGGUGUUUGAAUGAUUGCAU
rnacentral:lncRNA from 1 species